UACGUAGGGACCAAGCGUUGUUCGGAUUUACUGGGCGUAAAGGGCGCGUAGGCGGCAAUUCAAGUCAUCUGUGAAAUCUCCGGGCUUAACUCGGAACGGUCAGAUGAUACUGCUUUGCUAGAGUGCGGAAGGGGCAAUCGGAAUUCUUGGUGUAGCGGUGAAAUGCGUAGAUAUCAAGAGGAACACCUGAGGUGAAGACGGGUUGCUGGGCCGACACUGACGCUGAUGCGCGAAAGCCAGGGGAGCGAACGGG
rnacentral:rRNA from 1 species